rnacentral:rRNA from 1 species
UACAGAGGAUGCAAGCGUUAUCCGGAAUGAUUGGGCGUAAAGCGUCUGUAGGUGGCUUUUUAAGUCCGCCGUCAAAUCCCAGGGCUCAACUCUGGACAGGCGGUGGAAACUACCAAGCUGGAGUACGGUAGGGGCAGAGGGAAUUUCCGGUGGAGCGGUGAAAUGCGUAGAUAUCAGGAGGAACACCGGUGGCGAAGGCGGGUCUCUGGGCCGAUACUGACACUGAGGAGCGAAAGCGUGGGGAGCGAACAGG